rnacentral:tRNA from 1 species
UGGGUGGCGGUCUGGUGCGGGGAGGGCUGGGUCGGCCUCGAUCCGACCAACGGGAUCGGCGUGCAGGACGAUCACAUCGUCGUCGCCCGC